UACGUAGGGGGCAAGCGUUGUCCGGAAUCAUUGGGCGUAAAGCGCGUGUAGGCGGCCAGAAAAGUCCGCUGUGAAAACUCGAGGCUCAACUUCGAGCUGUCGGUGGAAACUUUCUGGCUAGAGUCCGGAAGAGGAGAAUGGAAUUCCUGGUGUAGCGGUGAAAUGCGCAGAUAUCAGGAAGAACACCCGUGGCGAAGGCGGUUCUCUGGGACGGUACUGACGCUGAGACACGAAAGCGUGGGGAGCGAACAGG
rnacentral:rRNA from 1 species